AUGACAGCCACAGUAGUGUUAUGAUGACGUUCAUGGUUUCACUACAAGGCAUGAGAUGACAACCACUUAACACAGUAAUGUUAUGAUGACGUUCAUGGUUUCACUACAAGGCAUGAGAUGACAACCACUUAACACAGAGUGUUAUGAUGACGUUCAUGGUUUCACUACAAGGCAUGAGAUGACAACCACUUAACACAGAGUGUUAUGAUGACGUUCAUGGUUUCACUACAAGGCAUGAGAUGACAACCACUUAACACAGAGUGUUAUGAUGACGUUCAUGGUUUCACUACAAGGCAUGAGAUGACAACCACUUAACACAGAGUGUUAUGAUGACGUUCAUGGUUUCACUACAAGAAAUGAGAUGACAACCACUUAACACAGUAAUGUUAUGAUGACGUUCAUGGUUUCACUACAAGGCAUGAGGUGACAACCACUUAACACAGUAGUGUUAUGAUGACGUUCAUGGUUUCACUACAAGGCAUGAGGUGACAACCACUAAACACAGUAGUGUUAUGAUGACGAGGGAAGCAGUAGUUUUCAGACAUACCGAGUGACAGUGUUUUGCAAAAUAUCAUAUUUGGAAUUUUUAUAUUUAAAAUAAUCAGCAACAAGCAGUAUUGGUAUGGCUAUUUUUAAGGACCUCCUCUACUUGCUAAGAUGAGUAGACUGUCUACUUUUGAAUAUUUUCUUAUGUGUUGCCACUCUGUUGUUAUAAUAGGCUUUUCUUGAAAACACUUGAGAGGACGUGUGAACAAAUUUUACUGGAGGCCGUAAUAUACUAGCAAAACCUGCCUUUUCCGAAUAAUCCAUUUUGAAGGGAAAUGAAUAGGACUCUUUACAGAAAUGAAUUAUAUGCAACUUGCAUGAUGAAAACACCUUAAAAAGAUUAAGUUAAAAGAAAGUGUUUGGUUUUACGCCACUUUCAGCAGUAUUCGUGCAAUAUCAUGGCACUGAAUAUCAGAAAUUGGCUUCACACUUGGUGCCCAUGUGGGGACCAAAAAGUAGACAAUUUGGCUAUUGCUAUGAUUUACAGAUACACCAACAAAUGUAUUUAUCCAGUCAGUUGGAGGGUUAAAAUUUGUUCACCUGACCAAAAAGGGCAAUCUUUGUUUCAAGGAAUCUCUUUUUGCACAUGAAAAGCCAAUUCCCUCCAGAUGUCUAAUUGUUGUGAUACGUAGUGGAGGUGUCCAUCUCAUUACUCUUAAUGCGAGAUAUUUGGGUUGGAAUACAAGACUUCUAGUAAUAGACCUAUAAGUGUUCAGAAAUAGUCUCGGCUCAAAAGGGGUUUGAGAUGGCCAUAUCUGAAAUGUAAUGUCAAGUGUUUCUCCUAUGCCCUCUGUAUUGCCUAUAUAGAAGAAUGCCUUAAAAUGUAGUUUUCCAGUUUUCUUUCUCUGAGUUUAUUGAACAGAGAUGAUAUUUAUCAAAUUAAUGUGCUGUUCCAUGGUUUAAUGUUACAAUAUUAAAUCAAGAGCAGUACAAGAGAAGUUGAAGGCUGUACACAUUCAUCAAUAUUUAUUUUAUAAAUGUACCGUAAAUAUUAUUCAAUGAAAUGAUUCAGCACUGUAAAUUUCAUUCAAGGAAUCUAUAACUUUCAUAGCUCAACAAAUAUAUAUGGCAAAUAUAUAUAAGUUUCUUUUACAAGGGUUCAAGUACUUUCUGUCACUUAAAAGAAACUGUGAUUUAAAUGCGUCUCAAUUUUCUUAUUGGAUCGAGUAUUUUCAUUCAUGGUAAAGAAACUUUAAUUAAAAUUUGUCUCAUUUAAUAUCAGGUGCUACUGAACUCACCCAACUUACAGUCAGUCAGUUUCUAAUUCUGAAUUGCUCUCCUGAUGUUGAAGGAUGUACAUUUGUGAUUGUGCAAUAUGUUUCACAGUUUUUUGUCACAUAAGUUAUGAUAUGUAGGCUGGGAACUAGUUUAUCUUUGCCAUAUCUGAUUAAUUUCAAUGUUUUAGAUGUUGUAAAUCUUAUGAAUAUUUAUUGUUGCGAAGAAACUCUGCUAAAGUCACUAUUUUGUACUAACAAGGGUUUAACUUGCCAAAGGUAAAUUGUCUAUGAAGUAUUUUUGCAACUGAUAUUGCAAGAAGACUUAACAAACAGGUAAGAGGAUGAUCUACAUGCAAGAAUACUGCCUCUAUCAGUGAUGUAAUUUAAGUUUUCAUCUCCGAAAUGUGCUAGUCGUGUUGAUGAAUAGAGACAGACGAACAUGCAUUGAAUGUGAAACAAAAUCUCAUCAAUUUUCUUUUAUGUAGAUUUGUUGAAUUUAAGGUUAAGCUUUUAUAACAAAUUUUAUUUUAGCAGCUGUAUGUCUACCUAUUCUAGGAGUAAUGUCUAGAAAUACAUGAGUCAUUUUCAUUGUGUAUUUAUGAUUGUAUACAUCUGGGCUGCUGGCCAAAUGUAGCCAGACUUUGUACUAUAUUCUUCUAUUUAAUGCUUAUGUCCGAUGUGUGAUAUUGUUUAUAUGCUAUGAGUGGACUUACUUAGCCAUUUUACAAAACCUGUCAUGACGCAGACCAUUUUUUAACUGUAUAUGUGUGGAAAAUUAAGACAUGCCAAUAUUUGUAAUUAUUUGUACAUGAAAAGCUAGGCCACUGUAUGUAUAUAAAGCAAAGAAAAUCUCUGUGUUAUUACGAAGAAUCUCAUUCUUUGAUAAAUUAUUAUGAUUUGAUGCACAGUCAUUUCAGGAUCAGGUCACUCAGGGGAGACAACUGUGUAAUAAGUUCUCCCAGGUGCCGUUUCAGUAUUAGAGUCACGUCCCUUGAGGCACGCUCAGUACUGUUGGUACCUGAAAUGGCUGUGCAAACCCUUGCUUCAGUUUGUGUGAAUUUCACCUUUUACAUAUUGUGAUGGCAUUUUGCAGGUGGCUCUCCACACACAACUGAAGGUCGUAAUAAACGAAAAUUUCUGACAUC